rnacentral:rRNA from 1 species
CAGCAGCCGCGGUAAUACGUAGGGUGCGAGCGUUAAUCGGAUUUACUGGGCGUAAAGCGUGCGCAGGCGGCCCGUUAAGACAGGUGUGAAAUCCCUGGGCUCAACCUAGGAAUUGCGCUUGUGACUGGCGGGCUCGAGUACGGUAGAGGGGGGUGGAAUUCCUGGUGUAGCAGUGAAAUGCGUAGAGAUCAGGAGGAACACCGAUGGCGAAGGCAGCCCCCUGGGCCUAUACUGACGCUCAUGCACGAAAGCGUGGGGAGCAAACAGGAUUAGAUACCCUGGUAGUCCACGCCCUAAACGAUGGGUACUAGCCGUUUGGUGCGCGAUAGCGCUGAGUGGCGAAGCUAACGCGAGAAGUACCCCGCCUGGGGAGUACGGCCGCAAGGUUGAAACUUAAAGGAAUUGGCGGG